GACGAACGCUGGCGGCGUGCUUAACACAUGCAAGUCGAACGGAAAGGCCCUGCUUUUGUGGGGUGCUCGAGUGGCGAACGGGUGAGUAACACGUGAGUAACCUGCCCUUGACUUUGGGAUAACUUCAGGAAACUGGGGCUAAUACCGGAUAGGAGCUCCUGCUGAAUGGUGGGGGUUGGAAAGUUUCGGCGGUUGGGGAUGGACGCGCGGCUUAUCAGCUUGUUGGUGGGGUAGUGGCUUACCAAGGCUUUGACGGGUAGCCGGCCUGAGAGGGGGACCGGCCACAUUGGGACUGAGAGACGGCCCAGACUCCUACGGGAGGCAGCAGUGGGGAAUAUUGCACAAUGGGCGGAAGCCUGAUGCAGCAACGCCGCGUGCGGGAUGACGGCCUUCGGGGUGUAAACCGCUUUCGCCUGUGACGAAGCGUGAGUGACGGUAAUGGGUAAAGAAGCACCGGCUAACUACGUG
rnacentral:rRNA from 1 species